rnacentral:rRNA from 1 species
UACGUAGGGUGCAAGCGUUAAUCGGAAUUACUGGGCGUAAAGCGUGCGCAGGCGGUUUUGUAAGUCAGAUGUGAAAUCCCCGGGCUUAACCUGGGAACUGCGUUUGAAACUACAAGGCUAGAGUGUGACAGAGGGGGGUGGAAUUCCGACGUGUAGCAGUGAAAUGCGUAGAGAUGUGGAGGAACACCGAUGGCGAAGGCAGCCCCCUGGGUUAACACUGACGCUCAGGCACGAAAGCGUGGGGAGCAAACAGG